rnacentral:rRNA from 1 species
AUUGAACGCUGGCGGCGUGCUUAACACAUGCAAGUCGAUCGGUAACAGGUGUAGCAAUACAUGCUGACGAGAGGCGGACGGGUGAGUAAUGCUUGGGAAUCUGCCUAUUAGUGGGGGACAACCCGGGGAAACUCGGGCUAAUACCGCAUACGCUCUACGGAGGAAAGCCGGGGACCGCAAGGCCUGGCGCUAAUAGAUGAGCCCAAGUCGGAUUAGCUAGUUGGUAGGGUAACGGCCUACCAAGGCGACAAUCCGUAGCUGGUCUGAGAGGACGACCAGCCACACCGGAACUGAGACACGGUCCGGACUCCUACGGGAGGCAGCAGUGGGAAUAUUGGACAAUGGGGGCAACCCUGAUCCAGCGACGCCGCGUGGGUGAAGAAGGCCUGCGGGUUGUAAAGCCC